UAAGACCUCGCGUUAUUGGAGCGGCCGAUAUCUGAUUAGCUAGUUGGUGGGGUAAAAGCCUACCAAGGCGACGAUCAGUAGCUGGUCUGAGAGGACGACCAGCCACACUGGGACUGAGACACGGCCCAGACUCCUACGGGAGGUAGCAGUGGGGAAUUUUGGACAAUGGGCGAAAGCCUGAUCCAGCCAUGCCGCGUGAGUGAAGAAGGCCUUCGGGUUGUAAAGCUCUUUCGCAAGGAAAGAAAUCCUAUCCACUAAUACUGGGUGGGGAUGACGGUACCUUGAUAAGAAGCACCGGCUAACUACGUGCCAGCAGCCGCGGUAAUACGUAGGGUGCGAGCGUUAAUCGGAAUUACUGGGCGUAAAGCGAGCGCAGGCGGUUUUGUAAGUCAGAUGUGAAAUCCCCGGGCUCAACCUGGGAACU
rnacentral:rRNA from 1 species